GAUGAACGCUGGCGGCGUGCCUAAUACAUGCAAGUCGGGCGAAUGGAUUAAGAGCUUGCUCUUAUGAAGUUAGCGGCGGACGGGUGAGUAACACGUGGGUAACCUGCCCAUAAGACCGGGAUAACUCCGGGAAACCGGGGCUAAUACCGGAUAACAUUUUGAACCGCAUGGUUCGAAAUUGAAAGGCGGCUUCGGCUGUCACUUAUGGAUGGACCCGCGUCGCAUUAGCUAGUUGGUGAGGUAACGGCUCACCAAGGCAACGAUGCGUAGCCGACCUGAGAGGGUGAUCGGCCACACUGGGACUGAGACACGGCCCAGACUCCUACGGGAGGCAGCAGUAGGGAAUCUUCCGCAAUGGACGAAAGUCUGACGGAGCAACGCCGCGUGAGUGAUGAAGGCUUUCGGGUCGUAAAACUCUGUUGUUAGGGAAGAACAAGUGCUAGUUGAAUAAGCUGGCACCUUGACGGUACCUAACCAGAAAGCCACGGCUAACUACGUGCCAGCCGCCGCGGUAA
rnacentral:rRNA from 1 species